rnacentral:tRNA from 1 species
AGCCCCGUAGUCUAGAGGCCAAGGAAGGUCUUAAAAUGCGUUUUUAGGCCCUUUAUUGCCGGGCUUUGGACCCGGUGACAGCGGUUCGAAAACAGGUCCCUUUUCAAAAAAGGUUCCUGUACCUCCCAAAACUUGAAAACGCUUCGCGUUUUCCAGAUGGACGGAGAACGAAGUUCCGCUCGGGGCUACCA